rnacentral:rRNA from 1 species
UAGGGAAUCUUCCGCAAUGGACGCAAGUCUGACGGAGCAACGCCGCGUGAGUGAAGAAGGAUUUCGGUUCGUAAAACUCUGUUGUUAGAGAAGAACAGCGCAUAGAGUAACUGUUAUGCGUGUGACGGUAUCUAACCAGAAAGCCACGGCUAACUACGUGCCAGCAGCCGCGGUAAUACGUAGGUGGCAAGCGUUGUCCGGAUUUAUUGGGCGUAAAGCGAGCGCAGGCGGUCAAUUAAGUCUGAUGUGAAAGCCCCCGGCUCAACCGGGGAGGGUCAUUGGAAACUGGUUGACUUGAGUGUAGAAGAGGAGAGUGGAAUUCCAUGUGUAGCGGUGAAAUGCGUAGAUAUAUGGAGGAACACCAGUGGCGAAGGCGACUCUCUGGUCUGUAACUGACGCUGAGGUUCGAAAGCGUGGGUAGCAAACAGG